rnacentral:misc_RNA from 1 species
CGAUGGGUUUAGGCAAUUACUGAACAGCCCUACUUGAGAGGCCUUGGCCCAAAUAUCAUAGUCAGGCUCUGGGCCCAUAUCUCUACCUUUAAAAACCAUUCUAGGCGCGCCUCUAAAACCCUAGGUUAGAGCGCUUCUUUUCGCAGCAGCGCAGCCAAGCACACAAGGAUUCUCCCCUCGCGGAUCUCAUAACCUAGAGAUAAAACUAUGUCGGUUGGAGAGGUAGCUUGCACUUAUGCUGCUUUGAUUCUCUACGAUGAUGGUAUACCCAUCACUGUAUCCUUACUUGAAACCGUAGGCUUGUAUUUGCUGUUCUGUUUAUUCUAGCAUUUCUGUAAGUUAGGUAUGCUAAUUUUAAGAUUCAGUAUUUAGUUUUUCCUUCCGCCGUUGUUAUUUAGUUUAGUUCAUAUUUUGACCUUCUAGGUUUUGAAUCUGAAUGUGCAUUAGGGCAUUAUUGCCUUUUUUUUGUUAUAUUUUCAAUUUAUUUAAUGUAUAUUUGAAUGGUUCUGGAUUUUGGAGGUCAUUAUCUGGUUGGUUGUUAGCUAAGAAACUAGAGGGAAUUGCUUGCUUCUAACUUAACAACAGAGUUGGAAAUUUUGCUCUCGGAUAAAUAUAUUUUCUUGGAAAUCUUUUUCCUUUAACUUCUGUUGAAAGGCUGAGAAGAUCGCUCAGUUGGUCAAAGCAGCCAAUGUAAAAGUUGAAUCUUACUGGCCAAGCUUGUUUGCCAAGCUAUUGGCAACGCGCAACGUUGCGGACCUCAUUGUGAAUGUUGGUUCCGGCGGUGGUGGUGCUCCAGUGGCAGCUGCAGUUCCUGCUGCUGGUGGUGGUGCAGCUGCAGCUGCUGCUCCUCCACCUGAAGAAAAGAAGAAGGAAGAGCCUGAGGAAGAGAGUGAUGAGGACAUGGGAUUCAGCUUAUUUGAUUAGGAGUUCCUUCAGUAUGCCCAUGUCCUAUGUUGGUCUUAGUAGUUCAAAAGUAGUUCCCUUUUGGAUAUUUUGGCUGUUCUGUGUCAGUAUAAAUACUCUUUUUUCAUGAAUGCAGUAUUGGAGAGCAUGGUUUUUGAACAAUCAUAUGUUUUAUAGCGUCUAGAAAUGUAUAAGUAUUUCAGAUGAGUAUUGGUUCUCUUGUUAUUGAGUUUUGAAUCGAUGUUCUUAACUCUUAAAUUGUGCAAUGAAUUUAAAAAUUUCAAAAUUGCUACUGCUUCAUCUUUGGAUAAGGAUGUUGAAUCUGAUUUCUGCUUUGUUGCACGCCCAGUUGUGCUUGAUGCUUAAGCAGAUUGACAUUGAAUUUUUUGUUCAAACAUUUGGUAUUAGCAUUGUAUACCCGAUAGUGUUUCUUUGGGAAAUAAUGAUACAAACUUACCGACUCCCUUGAAAAUUGAUUUAGGUAAAAUUUAUCCCAAUUAUGAGAUGUGCAGGUGACACUUGAGAAAUUAUUUUUGGAAUUGUAAUCCACGUCUUAGAAUUUCAGAGUUUGUUUCUAGGUAUCUUUGAAUUGUCAUUGCCUUCAUGGAUGGACUGUGUGCAAGGCUAGAGUGUGGCUUGUUGACUGCUGCAUUCUUGUAAGUGAUAAACAUGCAAUGCAAUUGCAGUAUAU